rnacentral:rRNA from 1 species
GGAUUAAGCCAUGCAAGCCUAAGAGUAACUGAGACAUAUAGGAGGUCUGCGAACGGCUCAUUAAAACAGAGAUAAUCUACCGGGGGACUCGCAGCUUCUGCUGCUACUUUGGAUAACUUCGCUAACGCGAAGCUAAUACAUGUAAGCACAGCGAGCGGUCACUUAUGCCGGUUUACCGGUCCGAUCGUCUCGUGCUAAUGGUUGGAACAAAAACCAACGCCAGCAAUGGCAGUUUUUGUAAAGUGUUGACUCAAACCAUUUAGCCCAAGCACGCUUCGGCGUGCGUGCCCCGAUGAGUCUCUGACCUAUCAGCUUUGACGGUARUGUAUUGGAUUACCRUGGCGAUCACGGGUACGGGGAAUUAGGGUUCGAUUCCGGAGAGGGAGCCUGAGAAACAGCUACCACUUCUACGGAGGGCAGCAGGCGCGUAAAUUGCCCAAUGCCAAAUUUGGUGAGGCAGCGAAGAGAAAUAGCGACCCAGACCUUCGGGUGUGGGAUCGGAAUGGGUGGUAUUUACAACCACCAACGAGUAACAAUUGGAGGACAAGUCUGGUGCCAGCACCCGCGGUAAUUCCAGCUCCAAUAGCGUAUAUUAAUGUUGUUGCUGUUAAAGGGUUCGUAGUUGAAUGCAGGGUUUGGGAGUUGUGUGACCUUGCGGUCAUCACGUCAUCCCAUCCCUGUCUUUUAGAUGGGAUCGUAUGCCUUGCCGAGGGGUCACCUUCAUUGGUGGUUCCGAGGCUGUUGAGUGAAGAGCUCAACGUACGCGUCACCACGCGCUACGGGCCGCCCGUCGUUAUCACUGUGAAGAAAACAGCGUGUUCAAGGCAACCGUCUCGCGGUUGAAUGACAAAGCAUGGAAUGACAAAGCAUCGACCAAUGGGUCUGGCUUUUGUUGGUUUUUACAACCCAUUUGGAUAUCUCAUGUCUGGCAGUCGCUUGCGACUCUGGGCAAACACGGGAUUAAUGGGGGUUGUCGGGGGAAAACGUAUCUGAGCGAGAGAGGUGAAAUUCUUAGACCGCUCGGGGACGAACUUAUGCGAAGGCAUUUUCCAAGUAUACCUUCAUCAAUCAAGAACUAAAGUGUGGAGAUCGAAGAUGAUUAGAUACCAUUGUAGUCCACGACUGCAAACGAUGACGCCCAUGGAUCGGAAGUGAAUACUCACCCUCCGUGAUGGGAUUUUUUCGGCGCUGCUCUACCCUAUUAACGCGAAAGCUGAGGCUAUGGUCUCAUGGGGGAGUACGUUCGCAAGGCUGAAACUUAAAGAAAUUGACGGAAUGGCACCACCAGGCGUGGAGUGUGCGGUUUAAUUUGACUCAACACGGGGAACCUUACCAGUACAGGAAAACGCAAGGAUUGACAGAUUGAUAGUUCUUUCUUGAUUCGUUUGACGGUGGUGCAUGGCCGCUUUUGGUCGGUGAAGUGAUUUGUUUGGUUGAUUCCUUUAACGGACGAGACCCAAACCGCUUAAUAGGUGGACCAUCUGCCUUCGGGCUUUGGUGCUUGGGUGGAGCCUUCGGGUUCUGCCUGGGUUUCCGAUGGUGAUACUCCUUCUUCGCGGCAUUCCCUGCUCCUUA